GACUUAGCGGAGUGGCCAGCCCCGCGGCACGCCCACCCUCUCGCGCCUGCCCGGGACUCCACCCCGCCCCUUUCUCCAGGCCCGCCCGCCCGCUCGCCCCGCCCACCCCUCCACUCUCGGCUCUCGGCUCUCGACCCUCGACCCUCGACCCCCGACCCUGUCUAUGCUGUCUCGGAUCGCAAGCUCUCGGAGACUGCUCCACGAUUUCUGGCCUCGCUUCUCCACUGGUAUGAUGGGAGACUUAGCCUCAAAGCUCAUCAGACGCGAGGACGCUAUAGCCGGCCGCAGCGAACCGCUGAAAGUAGCAGGCUACCUAUAAUGGGCCAGAUCUGACAAUGUCCAUGGGAAGUAACUGGAUCUUGCUAGAAAUGGAUUGAAUUGUUCUAUGUGAAAGUCUUUGUACAUCUAUUGGCCCUAGCACAAAGAUACACUGAGACGGAGGAAAGAAGAGAAUUCAUGCUCAUUCAGGUGAAUGAAGGGGUUAAAGAACCUUGAAGUAAAAUGGUCUACAGCAUUCUCAAAACACCUGGAGUUUAUUUUUCAUUGGAAAAAAAAAAAACUGAAACAUCUAUCACAGAUUGUGUAAUUGCCCUUCUUUCUCAAAUAAACUUAUAGCCAAUGGAAAU
rnacentral:lncRNA from 1 species